rnacentral:lncRNA from 1 species
GUCUGUAUUUCCGCCGGCGCGAAACGAGCGUAGCUUCCUUGUCGUGUGGCCUCAGUCCUUCGCCGUCCCUCGCCGUCCUUCGCCAUCGCACGCCACCGCACCCCAUCUCUCGAAAUCUGCAGACAUCUUGAUUUUUCCCACGCUGUCUGUCAGGUCUCCGCCGCCACUCGACGCCAGGGCGCCGGGCCUUGUGGGCUGUGCUGCACCUCGGACGGCUUCGCACCAGCCAGCGCCCUCUCUCUCCUGCAGCACUCUGAUCUGCACCCCCUGAGGGGCUUCCACUGUCCGCGGGGUGAGAAUGCCCCUGGGAGUGUCACAUGACUGCCGCCCCAUGUGUGUGAGAGGCGUCCUCUGGGAGAGCAUGGAUCCUGAGGUCCCAGGAUUGUCAGCUGACCUCUGUCCUGUGUGCCCAGUGGCCCCAGGUGACGUGUCUUCAAGAAGAGGCUGAGCUGCGGUGCUUGUAAGAGUCAUGUGCUGUUCCUGGGGCUUGGAUGAUGUAGGGGAAGCAAGGUGAAAGUGGUAUCCCGUGGUUCCACGUUCUGUCCUGCUGUGGGGCUGUCCCUCACAUGCUUUCAGUGGCUGUUGCAGAGGAAGAGCCUCCGGAAAUCUGCGUGGGUAAAGUCUCAGCCUUAGAUCCAAGGACAGUCCAAGGAAGUCCUAAGACCAUGGAGUUGGUGAUCUGGGAUCUGGGUUUGCUGAUAUUUCUCACCGUGAAUCUCUUGGUGGUGUUUGUGGGCACGAGAGGGGCAGAGAAUGGAGAGUGAGGCUACCACAUGAAGCGUCACCAGAGCUGCUCCCUGCUGCCUGCUCAGAGCACCCCGGAUCCACUGUUCAAUCUGCACAAGAUUCGGGGUCCAGACAUGGGAGACUUCAGCUGCCUCAGAGGACCGUGGACAGGGAAGGCCAGCCUCGCAUCCCUCUGUCCAUGCCUGGAAUGACUUUAAUAACCAAGAGUUUUAUUUUUGAAUUUGUAGCUGUCGUUCACUUUUUACCCACCCAUUCAAUAAACCUUACAGAAUUGCUCCAUG